GGGUCAGUAGGUUGGUCGUGCCACCGGUACGUACUGGUCUCACUGAUUCCUCCUUCCUGAAGAACCGUAAUGCCAUUAAUUUGGUGUUGCGGGGAAACAGGACUGUUACUUUGAAAAAAUUAGAGUGUUUAAAGCAAGCUAACGCUUGAAUACAUUAGCAUAGAAUAAUGAAAUAGGACGAUCGAUCCUAUUUUGUUGGUUACUAAGAUUGACGUA
rnacentral:rRNA from 1 species